AAUCAACGCUGGCGGCGUGCCUCAGACAUGCAAGUCGAACGCGAAAGUUUCCUUCGGGGAACAAGUAGAGUGGCGCACGGGUGAGUAACACGUAGGUAAUCUACCUUUGGAUGGGGAAUAACAACCGGAAACGGUUGCUAAUACCGCAUAAUGCAGCGGCACCUAAUGGUGGACAGUUGUUAAAGCGGGGGAUCGAAAGACCUCGCGUCUGAAGAGGAGCCUGCGGCGGAUUAGCUAGUUGGUAAGGUAAUGGCUUACCAAGGCGACGAUCCGUAACCGGCCUGAGAGGGCGGUCGGUCACACUGACACUGACAUACGGGUCAGACUCCUACGGGAGGC
rnacentral:rRNA from 1 species